GGUGAAAAGCACCCCGGAAGGGGAGUGAAAUAGAACCUGAAACCGUGUGCUUACAAGUAGUCAGAGCCCGUUAAUGGGUGAUGGCGUGCCUUUUGUAGAAUGAACCGGCGAGUUACGAUUUGAUGCAAGGUUAAGCAGUAAAUGUGGAGCCGUAGCGAAAGCGAGUCUGAAUAGGGCGUUUAGUAUUUGGUCGUAGACCCGAAACCAGGUGAUCUACCCUUGGUCAGGUUGAAGUUCAGGUAACACUGAAUGGAGGACCGAACCGACUUACGUUGAAAAGUGAGCGGAUGAACUGAGGGUAGCGGAGAAAUUCCAAUCGAACCUGGAGAUAGCUGGUUCUCUCCGAAAUAGCUUUAGGGCUAGCCUCAAGUGAUGAUUAUUGGAGGUAGAGCACUGUUUGGACGAGGGGCCCCUCUCGGGUUACCGAAUUCAGACAAACUCCGAAUGCCAAUUAAUUUAACUUGGGAGUCAGAACAUGGGUGAUAAGGUCCGUGUUCGAAAGGGAAACAGCCCAGACCACCAGCUAAGGUCCCAAAAUAUAUGUUAAGUGGAAAAGGAUGUGGCGUUGCCCAGACAACUAGGAUGUUGGCUUAGAAGCAGCCAUCAUUUAAAGAGUGCGU
rnacentral:rRNA from 1 species